AGAGUUUGAUCCUGGCUCAGGACGAACGCUGGCGGCGUGCCUAACACAUGCAAGUCGAACGAUUUAGCAUUUGAGCUUGCUUGAAUGCUGGAUAGUGGCGGACGGGUGAGUAACGCGUGAGCAACCUGCCUUUUGAGGGGGAUAACACCGGGAAACCGGAGCUAAUACCGCAUAAAAUAUUGAAAUCGCAUGGUAUCGAUAUCAAAGGAGCAAUCCGCAGAAAGAUGGACUCGCGUCCGAUUAGCUAGUUGGAGGGGUAACGGCCCACCAAGGCGACGAUCGGUAGCCGGACUGAGAGGUUGAGCGGCCACAUUGGGACUGAGACACGGCCCAGACUCCUACGGGAGGCAGCAGUGGGGGAUAUUGCACAAUGGGGGAAACCCUGAUGCAGCAACGCCGCGUGAGGGAAGAAGGUUUUCGGAUUGUAAACCUCUGUCCUAGGUGAAGAUAAUGACGGUAACCUGGGAGGAAGCUCCGGCUAACUACGUG
rnacentral:rRNA from 1 species